GUACUUCAUUCUGGUGAUACUCUGGGAAAUGAGUUCAUAGCACACUUACAAGUUUUGGCCCUUCAAGCAGGAGCUACAUGUGGAGGGUGUCAAAAUCUGGGGAGUAUGCUAACUUUUGAGGUAUAAAGACUUACAACAGAGACAGUGCAGAAGACCUUCUGGACCUCAGGUCUGAUGCCAUCUUGAGAAAGCAACACA
rnacentral:lncRNA from 1 species